GUGUUGAUGUACCAUGGUUGUGUAAAAGGGUUUAGUUUGGAGCACAAAGAGGUUUGCUUAGCAGGCUCGAGAGUUGUACCUGGAGGAGAGGAGGGUCAUUAGAAGAACCUCUCAGAAGAAAACCUGGAGAGAAGCCAGGAGAGUGGAGGAGGGAAGAGAGACAAAACUAGCUGACAUGGGGCAUAACUUAAUUUUCACGCUGCUGGGGCAGAUGGGAAAGGUAAUGUGGCAUGACAGCUCUUGGAGACUUCUUGGAGACUGUGCCAUGACCUCAGAGAGGGUGUGAACAGACUCUACUCUUUGGGCUUUAAGUGGCGCUCCAGAACAUUCUCCUUGGGCACCAUAUAAGGUGGAACGGGAGGUUUCAAACGAGAAGCUGGAGAAUGAGAAGCGACUCGGCUAUAGUGAAAGGUUAAA